rnacentral:rRNA from 1 species
UACAGAGGGUGCAAGCGUUAAUCGGAAUUACUGGGCGUAAAGCGUGCGUAGGUGGAUAUUUAAGUCAUAUGUGAAAGCCCCGGGCUUAACCUGGGAAUUGCAUCUGAUACUGGGUAUCUAGAGUACAGUAGAGGGCAGUGGAAUUUCUGGUGUAGCGGUGAAAUGCGUAGAUAUCAGAAGGAACACCGGUGGCGAAGGCGGCUGCCUGGGCUGAUACUGACACUGAGGCACGAAAGCGUGGGUAGCGAACAGG